UCGUGCUCGAUUGGCUCGAAUAUCAGUUCGUCACUUGCAACGCUAACAACCGAGCAGAACACGGUUGUAGACUGCUACGGAGAGGGACCCUCGUGUGAAAUAUCACUGUCAGAGACAACAAACAAAAAGAGAAUUCCACCUCACGCACGCUGUUCGUCUGAACUUCAUCCGCUCGUUGGCGUG